rnacentral:rRNA from 1 species
UACGUAGGGUGCGAGCGUUAAUCGGAAUUACUGGGCGUAAAGCGUGCGCAGGCGGUUUUGUAAGCCAGAUGUGAAAUCUCCGAGCUUAACUCGGAAAGGUCAACUGAAACUGUGCGACUAGAGUGCGGAAGGGGCAACUGGAAUUCUUGGUGUAGCGGUGAAAUGCGUAGAUAUCAAGAGGAACACCUGCGGCGAAGGCGGGUUGCUGGGCCGACACUGACGCUGAUGCGCGAAAGCCAGGGGAGCGAACGGG